rnacentral:rRNA from 1 species
CCCAGCCUACGGGGGGCAGCAGUAGGGAAUCUUCCACAAUGGGCGAAAGCCUGAUGGAGCAACGCCGCGUGGGUGAAGAAGGUCUUCGGAUCGUAAAACCCUGUUGUUAGAGAAGAAAGUGCGUGAGAGUAACUGUUCACGUUUCGACGGUAUCUAACCAGAAAGCCACGGCUAACUACGUGCCAGCAGCCGCGGUAAUACGUAGGUGGCAAGCGUUAUCCGGAUUUAUUGGGCGUAAAGGGAACGCAGGCGGUCUUUUAAGUCUGAUGUGAAAGUCCAUCGCUUAACGGUGUAUCCGCGCCGGG